rnacentral:sRNA from 1 species
CGACGCGUUCUACUUGUCCAUUUGGUCG